ensembl:lncRNA
UCAGGUGAUUAAUAUUUUAAAAUAAAAACAUAUCUGUAUUAUGACAUUCUCAUAUAAUUCAUCACCACUGGUAAAAACUCUCAUAAACAUGCCUGUAAAUGGGCAAGCAGAAGUGGCAGUAAUAAAACUGUGCUUUAAAUUAUGAUUCAAAAUGGGCUAUUUUAGGAGUUGAACAGAUGAGGUGACAGCCAGAGACACCUGUGGCAAGCUGCAAAUGCAGUAAAUGGAAAUGGGGUCAGUCUGUGAAGCUGCUCAGUUAAACAACAGUAGGUGUCUUCUUUGGAGUACAAGGAGUGUCGCUCACUUUCACCAUUUUUUGGGGGGGAUGAGGAGCGUGGCUCAGUUACCAAAACAAAUUCAUCUAGUGUGAUGUUAGGUGGUGUAGGCUGUGAGCUGGGGUCCAGAAUAAUGCAGGUCUCCAUAAAUCACAUGUAAGGGUGUCUCAGAUUCCUGGGAUGUCAGAGUGGUGCUUAGCAAAGGAGUUCCACCAAAGAGCUCUGUGCUCCAACCUCUAGAAACAUUAAUUCGUGGUCUCCUCCUGACCAGGAAGUUACCUUCUGAUGACCAUGAAAACAGUCAUUGUUGAGAUAACAGGCAAAAGAUCAAAGAAGUAAGAGAGAAUAAGGAAAACAUUGACAACAGAUAGGAGACAACAUUUGGACUCAGGUAUACAAAGGUGUUCAAUAUAAGACCCAUUUCUCCACCACACUUCCAAAAGACUGUGCAGACACUUCCCACCAGUCACCAUCGUGACACGGGCUGUGGUGGAACAGAAGUAUUCCUCUUUUUCUGGACGUUCUGAUGUACUGAUAAAUCUUCACUGGAUUGACAUCAGAAGUCCGUCUUGGACUUGGUUUAGGCCCUUGUAUUUCUGCAAUGAGAAGGAGAAUGUUUCUGUUUCAAAUAUUGUAUUUCAUGCUGUUGUAAAUACAUAAUGGCAUGGAACAAAACUUAUCUGGAGAUGAAGAGAUAGAUGAUGAGGAGGAGGAGGAAGAAGAAGAAACAGAAGAAGAAGAAAAAAUAGAAGAACCAGAAGGAGAAGAGGAAACAGGAGAAGAAUCUAGAGAAGGAACAGAGAAAGAAGAGGAAAUAGCGGAAAAAUAUGCAAAAGAGAAAUCUAGUAAAACACCUGAGGGAGAGAAAAGCAGUAAUAGCACAAUAGAAACUGGAGAGACAGAAGAGACUACUCAGAAAGAGACCAUCAUUCAGCAGGAAGAAGAAAGCACCGACAAUCAUACUGUGAAAAAUUCUUCAGAGAACAAUGAUGACCAAAUAACUGGAGGAAUUGUUGGGAGAAAAAAGUUUUCCCUGUUUAAGCGAAAGCCACUGACAGGCCAGAAGAAUGUAUGUAGCAGAAAGGAAGACAGAUCUGAAAAGCCAUUACAGACUGAAGAAAAAGAAAAGGAAGAUUUACCUGGUGAAGACAGUAAGGAUGAAAAUCAGAAUCAUACAUUGGAGAAUUCCAGUGAAACUGUGACUAACCAGGACAGAAGGAUGAAAGUUAAUACAUGUAUGUUACUCUAACACUGUUAUAAUAUGUGAGAAUGUGACAGUCUUAAAGCACAUAGUGCAAUUUUUACUUGAAAACAGUUAUGACUUGCAAUGUUGGUGGCUGCUCUUUUUGAUUGAUUUGAUUGCUGUAAUUUUAAAUAGGCAGAUGAUUUUCUUGAUAUUUAUUGGUAAUUUUAAUUGUUUAAAUUGAUAUAUUUAUCAGCACCUUGCUGGAGUUCUGUGGCCUUACCUGUUGGUGUUCUAAAACAAAAUGUGGGGGUUUUCUGUGAAAAGUUGAAUACAGUCAUUUUAUGUUUUUUUUUCUAAAUAAUUUUAUUCUGCGCCAGUCUGCAGAGUACCACUUUCAGUAUGAUACUCUUGCAAAAUUAUAUCUGAUGUAAGAUAUUAUUUGAUAUAACAACUUAGUUAAGAAUAUUGGGGGUACUCAGUUACUUACAAACAUGUUUUGACUUAGAAAAGUAGCAAUAAGACUUUCAAGUUAAGGUGUAGGCCAUUAUGGAAGAAGUUACUUGAGUUCAUGCCUAAUUUCAUGUAUGGCAGCAGUCCCAUAGGGAGCAGUACCUAAGAGCAGUAUGUAAGAAAGCAUGUAAGUAACUAUCCUGCCAAACUGGCACUUGGAGAAACCUUUUAUUUCUGAGAGGUGCUGAACACCUUUACUCCUGCUGAGAUCAGAAUAAGCUGUUGGGCCUCUCCUCACAGGAUCAGGCCCGGUGAAAACUGGACAUCAUCACUCUUGUUUCACUUGGAUUCUAAUCCUAUAUUCUUUGAACAUCCAUAUCUAGUGAAGCUUUUCUUACAGGAAAAUAAUGUAACCAGAAUUACUGUGGCAUAUAUUGGUAUGCCAGACAGAUCAUGGUGGGAUAAAUAUUCAUGAUUUUCUCAGGCAGCUUGGCUUUUCUUCAAAUAGAGACUUUGCAGCAGGAGCAAUGAAUCUCAUUAUUGGUAUGGAUGAGCAGAAUGUUUGCUUUUUUAAUUAGUGGAAGAGGCAGAAGUCACAAACUGACUAUCUGAUAACUGACAUUCCCGCUAAAUGAAAUUUGAUUUCUGAAUUUAGUCAGGUGAAUAAUAAAUAUAACCCUUAGAAUCA